AAGGGCAGUGAUUUCAACAACUCAUCAAAGCCUUUUGAUGAUGAUUUCAAUGAUGGCUGGAAGAUCACCAAUUCCAAUGGACCCCUUUUCUCUAUGCCUCACAACAACAACACUCACACUCUUGAAGUUGGAGGCUUCAACAAGGGAGGAAUCUAUUCCAACACCAACACCACUUCCUCCUUAUAUCCUAACCUUAACAACAACACUCUUGGAGGCUUCAACAAGGGAAUCUAUUCCAACACCACAUCCUCACCCUAUCUUAACCUUAACAACAACAACAACAACCACCUCAACAACAACCUUAACAGCAAUAAUCUCAAGGGCUACAAGACAUUUUUUAAGGGUGAAGAUCAGUUUCACACACCCAAAAGUGCCAAGAAAAACAGCAGCAAC
rnacentral:lncRNA from 1 species